GUGCUUGCUUCAGCAGUACAUAUACUAAAAUUAGAAUGGUACAGAGAAGAUUAGCAUGGCCCCCGUGCAAAGUAUGACACACAAAUUCAUGAAACGUUCCAUAUUUUU
rnacentral:snRNA from 1 species